GCGAACGCUGGCGGCAGGCCUAACACAUGCAAGUCGAACGGACCCUUCGGGGUUAGUGGCGGACGGGUGAGUAACACGUGGGAACGUGCCUUUUGGUUCGGAAUAGCUCCUGGAAACGGGUGGUAAUGCCGAAUGUGCCCUUCGGGGGAAAGAUUUAUCGCCAUUAGAGCGGCCCGCGUCUGAUUAGCUAGUUGGUGAGGUAAAGGCUCACCAAGGCUACGAUCAGUAGCUGGUCUGAGAGGAUGAUCAGCCACAUUGGGACUGAGACACGGCCCAAACUCCUACGGGAGGCAGCAGUGGGGAAUCUUGCGCAAUGGGCGAAAGCCUGACGCAGCCAUGCCGCGUGAAUGAUGAAGGUCUUAGGAUUGUAAAAUUCUUUCACCGGGGACGAUAAUGACGGUACCCGGAGAAGAAGCCCCGGCUAACUUCGU
rnacentral:rRNA from 1 species